rnacentral:rRNA from 1 species
CGGUGCGCGCACUCGUGCGCGUCGCACGGCCUAACGAACCCCGGCGCGAAAAGCGUCAAGGAACACUCAAAACGCCGCCCGCCCUCGGUGCCCCGUUCGCGGCGUGCACCCGGGGGAUCGGACGCGUGUCGAAAUCAAAACGACUCUCGGCAACGGAUAUCUUGGCUCUCGCAUCGAUGAAGAACGCAGCAAAAUGCGAUACUUGGUGUGAAUGCCAGAAUCCCGUGAACCAUCGAGUUUUUGAACGCAAGUUGCGCCCGAAGCCAUUAUGCCGAGGGCACGUCUGCCUGGGCGUCACGCACAUCGUCGCCCUCCGCCUCGGCCCGUAAAGGGAUCGCGGGUGUUGGGUCGGAUAUUGGCCCCCCGUGCGCUUCGGCGCGCGGCCGGCCCAAAUGUGAUUCGGCAUCGACGCGUGCCGCGACGAUUGGUGGUUGAAGAACUCAACUCGCGCGUUGUCGCGGCGUCGUUCGGCUCGAACGUGUUGACCCCGACGGUGCAUCGCACCUC